rnacentral:rRNA from 1 species
UCUUAUUGAAAAUAAUUUUAAGUCUAAUCUGCCCAAUGAAAAUUUUAAUGGCUGCAGUAUCAAUAACUGUACAAAGGUAGCAUAAUAAUUAGUUUUUUAAUUGAAACCUAGAAUGAAAGAUUAAAUGAAAUAUAAACUUUAUUAAUAAAAUUAAAAUUAAACUUAAAUUUUAAGUUAAAAUUCUUAAAUAUUAUUAAAAGACGAGAAGACCCUUUAGAAUUUUAUAUAAAUUAAAAUUAAAAUUAUAAAUAUUAAUAAUAUAAAUUUUAAUUAAUAUUUAAUUGGGGUAAUUUUUUAAUUUUAUAAACUUUAAAAUAAUAAAACAUUAAUUAAUGAACUUAUAAACCUAAAAUUUAGAAUUUUAAAAUAAAUUACC